rnacentral:rRNA from 1 species
CCUACGGGUGGCAGCAGUGAGGAAUAUUGGUCAAUGGGAGGAAUCCUGAACCAGCCAUGCCGCGUGCAGGACGACGGCUCUACGAGUUGUAAACUCCUUUUGUCAAGGGACAAAAUCAGGCUCGAGAGCCUGACCGAGGGUACUUGAAGAAAAAGCAUCGGCUAACUCCGUGCCAGCAGCCGCGGUAAUACGGAGGAUGCGAGCGUUAUCCGGAUUUAUUGGGUUUAAAGGGUGCGUAGGCGGGCUGUUAAGUCAGCGGUAAAAGCCCGGGGCUCAACCCCGGCGAGCCGUUGAAACUGGCUGUCUUGAGAUGUCGAGAGGUAUGCGGAAUGCGCAGUGUAGCGGUGAAAUGCUUAGAUAUUGCGCAGAACUCCGAUUGCGAAGGCAGCAUACCGGCGGCGAUCUGACGCUGAGGCACGAAAGCGUGGGUAUCGAACAGGAUUAGAUACCCUAGUAGUC